rnacentral:tRNA from 1 species
GUCGGCGUUGACGGGGGAGCCUACCACUUGUUCGUAAUCAGUAGGUCCGCGGUUCAAUUCCGCGCGUCGGCACCA